GGCUAUACUGCAGUCGAGCGAAUCGAUGGGAGCUUGCUCCCUGAGAUUAGCGGCGGACGGGUGAGUAACACGUGGGCAACCUGCCUAUAAGACUGGGAUAACUUCGGGAAACCGGAGCUAAUACCGGAUACGUUCUUUUCUCGCAUGAGAGAAGAUGGAAAGACGGUUUACGCUGUCACUUAUAGAUGGGCCCGCGGCGCAUUAGCUAGUUGGUGAGGUAAUGGCUCACCAAGGCGACGAUGCGUAGCCGACCUGAGAGGGUGAUCGGCCACACUGGGACUGAGACACGGCCCAGACUCCUACGGGAGGCAGCAGUAGGGAAUCUUCCGCAAUGGACGAAAGUCUGACGGAGCAACGCCGCGUGAACGAAGAAGGCCUUCGGGUCGUAAAGUUCUGUUGUUAGGGAAGAACAAGUACCAGAGUAACUGCUGGUACCUUGACGGUACCUAACCAGAAAGCCACGGCUAACUACGUGCCAGCAGCCGCGGUAAUACGUAGGUGGCAAGCGUUGUCCGGAAUUAUUGGGCGUAAAGCGCGCGCAGGUGGUUCCUUAAGUCUGAUGUGAAAGCCCACGGCUCAACCGUGGAGGGUCAUUGGAAACUGGGGAACUUGAGUGCAGAAGAGGAAAGUGGAAUUCCAAGUGUAGCGGUGAAAUGCGUAGAGAUUUGGAGGAACACCAGUGGCGAAGGCGACUUUCUGGUCUGUAACUGACACUGAGGCGCGAAAGCGUGGGGAGCAAACAGGAUUAGAUACCCUGGUAGUCCACGCCGUAAACGAUGAGUGCUAAGUGUUAGAGGGUUUCCGCCCUUUAGUGCUGCAGCUAACGCAUUAAGCACUCCGCCUGGGGAGUACGCGCAAGGCUGAAACUCAAAGGAAUUGAGGGGCCCGCACAAGCGGUGGACAUGUGGUUUAAUUCGAAGCAACGCGAAGAACCUUACCAGUCUUGACUCCUCUGACACCCUAGAAUAGGGCUUUCCCCUUCGGGGGACAGAGUGA
rnacentral:rRNA from 1 species